rnacentral:rRNA from 1 species
GUGGGGAAUUUUGGACAAUGGGCGCAAGCCUGAUCCAGCAAUGCCGCGUGCAGGAAGAAGGCCUUCGGGUUGUAAACUGCUUUUGUACGGAACGAAACGGUCCUGGUUAAUACCUGGGGCUAAUGACGGUACCGUAAGAAUAAGCUCCGGCUAACUACGUGCCAGCAGCCGCGGUAAUACGUAGGGUGCGAGCGUUAAUCGGAAUUACUGGGCGUAAAGCGUGCGCAGGCGGUGCUGUAAGACAGGCGUGAAAUCCCCGGGCUCAACCUGGGAAUUGCGCUUGUGACUGCAGUGCUGGAGUACGGCAGAGGGGGAUGGAAUUCCGCGUGUAGCAGUGAAAUGCGUAGAUAUGCGGAGGAACACCGAUGGCGAAGGCAGUCCCCUGGGCCUGUACUGACGCUCAUGCACGAAAGCGUGGGGAGCAAACAGGAUUAGAAACCCCAGUAGUCC